UCUUAGCGGCGUUUAAACAAAAAACGCCGUAAAAAAUAGAGUUUUAGCGGCAUCCAGAGACAAACGUCGCAAUAAAUGAUUAUUAGUGGCGCAAGAAAUAGGAACGCCGUAAUUGACCUGCAAUAGCGGCGUUUUUACCUCAACGCCACAAAACUUGUUUGCAAAACGGCUCCGUUUUUUGGUUACUUUAUGACUUUAGUGGCGCUUC
rnacentral:lncRNA from 1 species